rnacentral:rRNA from 1 species
GACGAACGCUGGCGGCGUGGAUUAGGCAUGCAAGUCGAACGGUAUCAUCCUUUCGGGGGUGAGAGAGUGGCGAACUGGUGAGUAACACGUAGGUUAUCUACCCUCAAGACGGGGACAACCCAGGGAAACUUGGGCUAAUACCGGAUGUGAGCAACUUUUAGUUGUUUGAAAGGUGGCGUAAGCUGUCGCUUGGGGAUGAGCCUGCGUCCUAUUAGUUAGUUGGUGAGGUAACGGCUCACCUAGGCAAUGAUAGGUAGGCGGCCUUAACGGGUGGUCGCCCACACUGGGAUUGAGAUACGGCCCAGACUCCUACGGGAGGCAGCAGUCGAGAAUAGUCUACAAUGGUCGGAAGACUGAUAGUGCGACGCCGCGUGAACGAUGAAUCCCUUCGGGGUGUAAAGUUCUUUUAUAUGUGAGCGAGUGCUUCUUAUAUUAACAGUAUGGGGAAGAGAUAUUAGCAUAUGAAUAAGCAACGGCUAACUCCGUGCCAGCAGCCGCGGU